rnacentral:rRNA from 1 species
AUAUCAAUAAGCGGAGGAAAAGAAACCAACAGGGAUUGCCUCAGUAACGGCGAGUGAAGCGGCAACAGCUCAAAUUUGAAAUCUGGCCGCAAGGUCCGAGUUGUAAUUUGUAGAGGAUGCUUUUGGCGAGGUGACUUCCGAGUUCCCUGGAACGGGACGCCAUAGAGGGUGAGAGCCCCGUACGGUCGUGCCACCGAGCCUCUGUAAAGCUCCUUCGACGAGUCGAGUAGUUUGGGAAUGCUGCUCUAAAUGGGAGGUGUACGUCUUCUAAAGCUAAAUACCGGCCAGAGACCGAUAGCGCACAAGUAGAGUGAUCGAAAGAUGAAAAGCACUUUGAAAAGAGGGUUAAAAAGUACGUGAAAUUGUUGAAAGGGAAGCAUUCAUGACCAGACUUGGGCUUGGUUGAACAUCCGGCGUUCUCGCCGGUGCACUCUGCCAGCUCAGGCCAGCAUCAGUUUGCCCCGGGGGACAAAGGCGGCGGGAAUGUGGCUCCCUACGGGGAGUGUUAUAGCCCGUCGUGUAAUGCCCUGGGGUGGACUGAGGUUCGCGCUUCGGCACGGAUGCUGGCGUAAUGGUCAUCAAUGACCCGUCUUGAAACACGGACCAAGGAGUCGUCUUCGUAUGCGAGUGUUCGGGUGUCAAACCCCUACGCGUAAUGAAAGUGAACGUAGGUGAGAGCUUCGGCGCAUCACCGACCGAUCCUGAUGUUCUCGGAUGGAUUUGAGUAAGAGCAUACGGGGCCGGACCCGAAAGAAGGUGAACUAUGCCUGUAUAGGGUGAAGCCAGAGGAAACUCUGGUGGAGGCUCGCAGCGGUUCUGACGUGCAAAUCGAUCGUCAAAUAUGGGCAUGGGGGCGAAAGACUAAUCGAACCUUCUAGUAGCUGGUUUCCG